rnacentral:rRNA from 1 species
UACGUAGGGUGCGAGCGUUAAUCGGAAUUACUGGGCGUAAAGCGCGCGCAGGCGGCCAUUCAAGUCAGGGGUGAAAGCCCGGGGCUUAACUCCGGAAGUGCCUCUGAAACGGUCAGACUUGAGUCUUGGAGAGGGUCGUGGAAUUCCCGGUGUAGCGGUGAAAUGCGUAGAUAUCGGAAGGAACGCCGGUGGCGAAAGCGGUCUGCUGGACCUCUUCUGACGCUGAGGCGCGAAAGCCAGGGGAGCAAACGGG